rnacentral:rRNA from 1 species
ACGCUCGACACCUACGGGAGGCAGCAGUGGGGAAUAUUGCACAAUGGGGGAAACCCUGAUGCAGCGAUGCCGCGUGAAGGAAGAAGUAUCUCGGUAUGUAAACUUCUAUCAGCAGGGAAGAAAAUGACGGUACCUGACUAAGAAGCCCCGGCUAACUACGUGCUAGCAGCAGCGGUAAUCUGAGCGGGCUGGCAAGGC